UCGUUAGUCGGGUACGAGCGCACCUCGCCCUUAGUUGCCAGCGGGUAAUGCCGGGGACUCUAAGGGGACUGCCUUUUAGGAGGAAGGAGAGGACGACGUCAAGUCAGUAUGGCCUUUAUGUCCUGGGCUACACAGGCGCUACAAUGGCGGUGACAACGGGAUGCAACAGGGUGACCUUAAGCAAAUCCCCAAAAACCGUCUCAGUUCGGAUUGUACUCUGCAACUCGAGUGCAUGAAGUUGGAAUCGCUAGUAAUCGCGGAUCAGCAUGCCGCGGUGAAUACGUUCCCGGGCCUUGUACACACCGCCCGUCACACCAUGGGAGUUGGUUUUACCCGAAGGCGGUUCGCUAACCUUUUGGAGGCAGCCGACCACGGUAGGGUCAGCGACUAGGGUGAAGUCGUAACAAGGUAGCCGUAGGGGAACCUGCGGCUGGAUCACCUCCUUUCU
rnacentral:rRNA from 1 species